CAUCCAGGUGCUGCUUGCGGGUAUCCUUGGACCGGCGGCAUCAUCAUCAUUGGCUCUGAUAUCCACGGUGUUGCCACCAAUGCAGCUAUUGGACCGUCCUUGGGCUUAUCAAUUAUUGUCGGCUUUUCUUGUCCUUUGGGCUUCUCGGGCUCCUUUUUGUCCUUGGACUUUUCAGGCUCCUUAGGUUGCUCAAAAGUGACAGUCUUGGUUUUCUUCUCGGGCUCUUUGGGAUUUUCGGGCCCUUUGAUUUUCUCGGGCUUUUCGGGCCCUUUUGGUUUCCCGAGCGCUUUGAUCUCAAUGCUCUGGAUCGUUUUUCCUCCUUU
rnacentral:lncRNA from 1 species